AGAGUUUGAUCCUGGCUCAGGAUGAACGCUGGCGGCGUGCCUAACACAUGCAAGUCGAGCGAUUUACUUCGGUAAAGAGCGGCGGACGGGUGAGUAACGCGUGGGUAACCUGCCCUGUACACAUGGAUAACAUACCGAAAGGUAUGCUAAUACAAGAUAAAAUAUAUUUAUCGCAUGAUAGAUAUAUCAAAGCGUUAGCGGUACAGGAUGGACCCGCGUCUGAUUAGCUAGUUGGUAAGGUAAAGGCUUACCAAGGCGACGAUCAGUAGCCGACCUGAGAGGGUGAUCGGCCACAUUGGAACUGAGACACGGUCCAAACUCCUACGGGAGGCAGCAGUGGGGAAUAUUGCACAAUGGGCGAAAGCCUGAUGCAGCAACGCCGCGUGAGCGAAGAAGGCCUUCGGGUCGUAAAGCUCUGCCCUCAAGGAAGAUAAUGACGG
rnacentral:rRNA from 1 species